GUCUACAAUUGUCCGAUCAUGUGGGCGGAACAUUUUCCUAUUCUAAUUAAAAUUAUGUCCCAUUGUCAUACGGAAAACAGCAAAGACGAUUGGGAAUAAAGGCUUCUUCAGUCCGCAUUUCGUUCUACAGUACAAAUUGAAGUUCCAUGGAUUUUGCCAUAUGUUUGCGUUUUCUGUCGUUGAACUCUUGAAACAAUCUUAAAUAAAUGGCGUAAGUUAAAUAAAUAUAGUUUGUGGUGUAUUUUUUAGUAAUGGUCUAAAGUCACAUUCAAGAUUGUUUUAACUUCAGAUCCAAAGCUACCUUUUAAAGUGUUGAGCGUUCCAGAAAACACCCCAUUCACUGCAGUCUUGAAAUUUGCUGCGGAGGA